rnacentral:rRNA from 1 species
UACGUAGGGUCCGAGCGUUGUCCGGAAUUACUGGGCGUAAAGAGCUCGUAGGUGGUUUGUCGCGUUGUUCGUGAAAACUCACAGCUCAACUGUGGGCGUGCGGGCGAUACGGGCAGACUUGAGUACUGCAGGGGAGACUGGAAUUCCUGGUGUAGCGGUGAAAUGCGCAGAUAUCUGGAGGAACACCGGUGGCGAAGGCGGCAUCCUGGACCGGCAUUGACGCUGAGGCGCGAAAGCUAGGGGAGCAAACGGG